rnacentral:tRNA from 1 species
GCCCCUGUAGUAUAGUCCGGUCAAGUAUAUCGGGUUUUCGACCCGAGGACCUGGGUUCGAAUCCCAGCGGGGGCG